GCGUCCGCCUGAAUCUUCGGGCCUUUCCGCCGUAAGGCGGAUCGAAAAGCGGGUGAAAUCGGGGAAAUCCUUUUAAGUAUACGGGAGAAGUAUAUGUAUAAGGGCUAUCCCGAGCCAAAUUUUCGGAAGUCCGAAAUACAAAAUCUCUCGAUUUUUAUAAAUCAAAAUCGGGACGAUAUCUGACUUCCGAUUAGAGGUGUAGAGACUAUCCUUUUUAGGAGUACGCUUUGACAAGAGAUGGGGUUUGUUACCUGAAUAUGUCGAAGUGGAAGCGCCCGCCUCCUUGCUUGUUUAUUCCGCGCAAUUCUGCGUAAAGUCCGCGUUGGUCUGCGCGCGAGUGAAGCGAGCGAGGAUGAUGAUAUAGUCCAACUAGAUAUUAUUGUCGGA
rnacentral:ncRNA from 1 species